rnacentral:lncRNA from 1 species
CCAGGUCUGCAGUUGGAGCCCAUUGUGUGAGGCAGUCUGUGAAGGAAGUGUGAGAACCACCCUCAUGAGGAAAGCUGUAGAGGAAGAGUGAGGAAUGCGACAGACUCCCUGAAAGCAAAGGUGGAAAAAGAAUUCACGUGGUGAAGUCAGUGACUAAUCAGUAAGUCAUUGGUGCCCACUCGAGGUUACCAAGUUCUGGGAGAAGUUGGGUCAAGCUGAGGUAUUCUCAUGGGACAACAUUUAUCAGCUCAACAGAAACAGUAUAUAAAAGUGUUGAAACAGUUGCUUAAGGCUAGUGGAGCAUCAGUUUUGCAGGCUCAAUUAGGGGACAUAAUGCAAACUGUUGUAAUCCUGAGAGGUAAAACUGGCUGGGCUUUGGGUGGGGUGGGGACUUGGAGAACUUUUCUAUCUAGCUAAAUGAUUGUAAAUGCACCACUCAGUGCUCUGUGUAGAGCUAAUCAGGUAAGGGACUUGGAGAGCUUUUCUGUCUAGCUAAAGGAUUGUAAAUGCACCAAUUGGUGCUCUGUGUCUAGCUAAAUGUUUAUAAAUGCACCAAUCUGCACUUGCUAAAAACAGACCGAUCAGCACUCUGUAAAAUGGAACAAUCGGCAGGAUGAGGGUGGGGACAAAUAAGGGAAUAAAAGCAGGCCACCUCAGCCAGCAGUGGCAACCCACUCAGGUCCCCUUCCACACUGUGGAAGACCUGUUCUUUUGCUCUUUGCAAUAAAUCUUGCUGCUACUCAGUCUUUGGGUCCACACUACCUUUAUGAGCUGUAACACUCACCAUGAAGGCCUGCAGCUUCACUCCUGAAACCAGCAAGACCACAAACCCACCGGGAGGAACAAACAACACUGGAUGCACCACCUUUAAGAGCUGUAACACUCACUGUGAAGCUCUGCAGCUUCACUCCCGAAGUCAGCGAGACCAUGAACCCACUGAGAGGAACAAACAACUCCAGAAACACCAACUUUAAGAGCUGUAACACUCACUGUGAGGGUCUGCAACUUCACUCCUGAAGUCAGCGAGACCAUGAACACCUGAAGGAACAAACUCUGGACACACUGUCUUUAAGAACUGUAACAGUCACCGUGAGAGUCCAUGGCUUCAUUCUUGAUGUCAGUGAGACCAAGAACCCAUGGGAAGGAAUCAAUUCCAGACACACUUUGGUGACCACAAAGGGACUAUUGCCUAUUGCCAAGCAAAUUGAGGCUAUCAACCUAGAGAUGGUCUUACAAAUGGAACCCCAAAUGAGCUCAACUAACAGCUUCUACUGAGGACCCCUGGACCAACCUCCUGGCCCUUUCUGUGGCCUAAAGAGUUCCCCUCUGGAGGACACUACAACUGCAGCAUAAUUCUUUGCCCCUAUCUAGCAGGAAGUAGCUAGAGAGGUCAUUGGCCAAUUCCCAACAGCAGUUGAGAUGUCCUGUUUAGAGAAGGGAUUGAGAGGUGAAGCUGGCUGGGCUUCUCAGUCAGAUGGGGACUUGGAGAACUACUUUGUUUAGAUAAAGGAUUGUAAAUGCACCAAUCAGCACUCUGUGUCUAGCUAAAGGUUUGUAAAUGCACCAAUUAGUGCUCUGUGUCUAGCUAAUUGGGUAGGAGACUUGGCGAACUUUUCUGUCUAGCUAAAGGAUUGUAAAUGCACCAAUCACGCUCUGUGUCUAGCUAAAGGUUUGUAAACACACCAAUCAGCACUGGAUAAAAAUGGAUCAAUCAGCACUCCGUAAAACAGACCAAUCAGCACUCUGUGAAAUGGACCACUCAGAAGGAUGUGGGUGACACCAGAUAAGAGAAUAAAAGCAGGCCACCCGAGCCAGCAGCAGCAACCUGCUUUGGUUCCCUUCCAUGCUGUGGAAGCUCUGCUCUUUCACUCUUUGCAAUAAAUCUUGCUGCUUCUCGCUCUUUGGGUCCGCACUACCUUUAGGAGCUAUAACACUCACUGUGAAGGUCUGCAUCUUCUUCUUGAAGACAGCAAGACCAAUAACCCACUGGAAGGAAUCAAUUCUGGACACAAUCCCAAGAUCAUGGUUCCCAGAAAAAGGAACACUGGAUGUAGUACUCUGAGAACAAGUGGGGAUAAAUCUUCAACAUCAGACACAAAGGCAACAGGUCCCAGCUGUUAUGGGCUUUCAUUACAGCAGCCCUGUCUCCAUUAUACACAGAACAGACUAUAAAGGGGAACGAGGAGGAAAUGUCACCUGCCUUAUCACCUCCUCUUCCGUCAGCCCUAAUAUUACUGAGCCAAAAUAACAAAGAAGAAACAGAUAUUUUACCUGAGCCUUUUUCUUCAAUACGUAAGAAAAAGGACCAGGAAUACCCUCCAGUUAUUAGUCCCUGUCUUCAGCUGGCAGCAAUAAAAGGAGAGUUAUUAGCCUGCCCGGUAAUGCAAAAUCAGCCAAGUAAUCAGGUACAUAAAGGGUUAAGAAUAAUCACUAAAAGCCAGAGCCACAGGGCCAGGACAAGGAAGCAGUAAGUAGAAAGAAAAACUCCACCCACACUGUGACAGAAGCAACAAAGAGCCAAGCUGCAGCCAGAGCUAGCCUGCUGCGAGUGGAACAGAAGCACACGUGACAAAUUCCACCCAGGCCACAUGUGUCCCACAGCUGGGGAAGGGAGCCAGCACAGGCAAAAAAUGGCACAGGCAAAAAUGGCGACUUUAUAAAUGUAAAGCAGUCACAGCGCCGGGACCUGCCUGCUCCUUUCUCUAACUCCACAGGCUAUCCAAGACAAAAUCUCAUGUGCUGCUUGUUUACAAGCAACAUCACAGAUUAUAGUUCUCAGCUAAAAUUUAAGUAAAAUGUAAGAAUUAGAAAACCUCUUUCUAAUAACCUCCACUGUUGUCAUCUCUCUUCCACCCUGAUGAAGCUCACCAAAUUCAAGUAAAACAGUAACGUUUAAAGGUUGAGACAUUACAAACAACCCAUGAGUUAGUUUAGAAGUAGUUAAAAGCAAACUUUGUUUUUUAACUAGUAGAAAAAAAAUUCCUGAUUACAUGAUUAUUCAUUUUAUGGAUGAUAUUUUACUAGCAGCCCCAACGGAGCCAAUACCUUUAAAUUUGUUUACCUCUGUCAUAAGGAAUACACAACUGAAAAGUUUAGUCACUGCACCUGAAAAAGUACCCAUGUUCCCUCCUUGAAAAUAUCUUGGAUAUCUGUUAAUCUCCUGGUCAGUAAGACCUCAAAAGUUUAACCUAAGUACUAACAACUUACACACAUUAAAUGAUUAGCAGAAAUUAUUGGACAAUGUUACCUGGAUUUCUCCCAUUGUUGGAAUUCCUACCAAUAAACUACAAAACCUGUUCUCUAUCUUAAAGGGCAACCCAGCCCUCAAUUCUCCCAGAUAUUUAACCCUUGCAGCAAAAAGGGAAAUCAAGGAAAUUGAGCAAGCCGUCUUUCAAAGGAAGCUAGAUCGCAUUGAUCCACCGUAUUCCAAUCAGCUAUUUAUUUUUUCCACCUAACACUCCCCUACAGGGUUACUAGGACAAAUGACUCCCAGGCUAUGUUUCCUAGAAUGGGUUUUUUGCCCCCAUACCGGGACUAAAACACUGUCUCCUUAUACUCAGUUAAUUACUAAAGUCAUCUAUUCAGGUCACAAACGUUAAAAAUCAGUUGCGACAUAACCGAUAUCAUCAUGAUUCCUUUAAGUAAAGAGCAAUUCAAAGCUUCAUUAUCUUUGUCAAUACACCCACAAAUAGUUUUAUCUCAUUACACAGAGCAAAUAAAGCACAUCCUCCCUGCUGAUAAAGUCUUUCAUUUCUUAUCUCAUACUCCGGUAAUAAUGCCUACAAAAAGAGUUUACUCCCCUGUAACUAAUGCUUUAACACGGUUUACUGAUGGGUCCGCAAACAUGGAAAAGCAGCAGUCUGGUAGAGACCAUAUAAUUCAAUCAUGCAAUCUGAGUUUACUAGCAAACAGAAAGCUAAGGUUACUCUGUUUAUUUAUUAAAGAAGUUUUACAGCCUUAACUCUAUUCUGGAGCCAGGACGGUUUACUCUUUCUCCAACUUCAGCAAUUGGCUAGAUCAACAUACAAGUCCCAUUUUUAUUACACAUAUUUGAGCCCACAGCUUACUUCCUAGCCCAUUGGCUUAUGAGCAGUGAUCAAGCAAACCUACAGGUUAAGCCAUCACUGCUAGACCAAGCCACCCAAUCGCAUGAAUUUUUCCAUCCAAAUUGAAGAAACUUAUCAACUUACUCAGAGACUGGCUAAAUAAAUUAUCCUACAAUGCCCAGAUUGCCAGCUCACAGGUAAGUCCCCUCCUUCAACAGGUGUUAACCCUAGGGAAACAGAACUUAACCUGCUAUAGCAAACAGAUGUUACACCCAUACUUGAAUUUGGAAAACUUAGAUAUGUACAAGUAUCUAUUGAUACCAACACUCAUUUAAUUGCUGUCCAAGAUCAGAGAGAAACAGAAAGGUUAAAGAGAGAAAUAGAGGGGAAAAAAAAGAAAGACUAGAAAAACCAGAGGUCAAAGUCACAAAAAGUAAGACAAAGAAAAGACAUAAAGAGAAAGAAAUGUUAAGAAAGUUAUAACCAUUAGACUGCACCUUUAUUAAGGAAGGUUAUGAAAGAAAUAAAGUUAAGGCAUGUUGAAAAUUGUCUGUGGAAGUCAUAAAAACAUUAUAAAAAGAAAACUAUUCAGGACAUGUUGUAUAAUUUUGUUUUGAAAGUCUAAGCAAGUUUUAAAAUGUUAAUUGUUAACAAAAUUCUCUGAGUAAACAUAUUGACUAAAGUUAAAGAUGUGUCAUCCAACAAUCAUAGACUGGAUUAAGAAAAUGUGGCACAUACACACCAUGGAAUACUAUGCAGCCAUAAAAAAUGAUGAGUUCAUGUCCUUUGUAGGGACAUGGAUGAAAUUGGAAAUCAUCAUUCUCAGUAAACUAUCGCAAGAACAAAAAACCAAACACCGCAUAUUCUCACUCAUAGGUGGGAAUUGAACAAUGAGAGCACAUGGACACAGGAAGGGGAACAUCACACUCUGGGGCCUGUUGUGGGGUGGGGGGAGGCGGGAGGGAUAGCAUUGGGAGAUAUGCCUAAUGCUAGAUGAUGAGUUAGUGGGUGCAGCACACCAGCAUGGCACAUGUAUACAUAUGUAACUAACCGGCACAUUGUGCACAUGUACCCUAAAACUUAAAGUACAAUAAUA